rnacentral:tRNA from 1 species
GCGAGAGUGGCGGAAUCGGUAGACGCGCCGGGUUUAGGACCCGGUGCCCGAAAGGGCGUGGGGGUUCGACUCCCCCCUCUCGCA